rnacentral:misc_RNA from 1 species
CUUCACUGGGAUAGCCCUCCAUAAGUUGAUCAUACACAGUAACAAAACCUAGGGCGAACACAGGAUCAUAUUGGUAGGAUUUCUUGUACCUUGUCAAAUGUUGUUGCACGAUUAGCUCUUGUAACACUGUGUUGUAGACAGUUGGAAUUGGUCGCUUGUAAGCGGUCAAAAACUUCAUUUUAGUGUCAGCAACAGUUGGCAAAUCUGCAGCUGAACUGGACGUGCAAUGAACGACAAAGCGAGAGGUGGAAUUGGAAGAUCGAACAUUGACGGAAUCAAAGGAGAAGUUGGAACGGAACCUAAAUGUAUCAAUAGAACGAGACGAAGAAACGGAGGAUUUCCUUUCCGCCGAUUGAGUAAUCGCCGAGAAAGAUACUGAAGUAACAGCCGCCAUAUUUCUACCGGUGAAGAAGAAGAG